rnacentral:rRNA from 1 species
AACGAACGCUGGCGGCAGGCCUAACACAUGCAAGUCGAGCGAGGACUUCGGUCCUAGCGGCGGACGGGUGAGUAACGCGUGGGAACGUGCCCUUUGCUUCGGAAUAGCCCUGGGAAACUGGGAGUAAUACCGGAUGAGCCCUUUGGGGGAAAGAUUUAUCGGCGAAGGAUCGGCCCGCGUUGGAUUAGGUAGUUGGUGGGGUAAUGGCCUACCAAGCCGACGAUCCAUAGCUGGUUUGAGAGGAUGAUCAGCCACACUGGGACUGAGACACGGCCCAGACUCCUACGAGAGGCAGCAGUAGGGAAUCUUAGACAAUGGGGGAAACCCUGAUCUAGCCAUGCCGCGUGAGCGAUGAAGGCCUUAGGGUUGUAAAGCUCUUUCAGCUGGGAAGAUAAUGGCGGUACCAGCAGAAGAAGCCCCGGCUAACUCCGUG